CGAAUAACGAAAUAAAGAGAGCUAUCUGUCGACAGUCUAGUUAUUAAAUGACAACAAAACAUUAUAUUACUGUCAUGGAAUUGCUCUCUUUGUAUAGUAUUCG
rfam:Lucilia cuprina strain LS Scaffold11, whole genome shotgun sequence.